rnacentral:rRNA from 1 species
AUGCCGCUCCGGCGCCUCCUGGACCUCUCCGCCACCGUCUCCGACCUGCUCCGCCGCUCCCUCUCCACCGCCGCCGCCCCCUCGCACCCACCAUGGGCGAUCGUCGACUACACGUCCAUGGUGGACCGCUCCUCGUCGGCCCCGGGCGCGUGCUUCCACCCCGUCGCGCCCCCGGGCAUCUCCCACGUCACGGCCCCGGCGCACCUCGUCAGCCCCAGGGCGCGCCCCGCCCCCGACACCAACGUCGUCCAGGUCCUCUUCGGCAACGUCGGCGCCGCCAGCGGCGACGGCCACCUCCUCCUCAGCUACCACGACCUCCGGGCGGAGGGCCCCUGCACCACCUGGGACCUGUCCGCGCCCCCGGAAAUCCAGCGCUUCGUCUGCAACCCCCUCACCGGCCAGAUGCUCCGCCUGCCGGACAUUGGCGGCUCCCGGAGGACCCUCGUCUUCCACCACAUGGGCCUCCUCACCCAGGCCGACGGCUGGCUCGGGCGCGGGCCGCCCCACAGAUUCGCCGUCGCCGAGCUUGCCUUCCAUGGCGCCGGCCUCGAGCGGUUUCUCUCGGAGAAAGGGGAGUGGGAGACGGUGAUGGGCGUGCCGUGCGGGCCGCCGCCCCCGCGCGGGAUGGAGGUCAACCAGGAGACGGUUGCCUUCGGCGGCCGCCUGUGGUGGGUCGACCUCACCUUGGGCGCCGUCUCCGUCGACCCCUUCGCCGACCGGCCGGAGAUCCGCUUCGUCGAGCUGCCCAGCGGCAGCGUGCUGCCUGCGCGUGCUCGUACGGAAGAGGAUGGAGAUCUCAGGAAGGUCGAUGACCGGGGGCUCUUCUUGCGGGAGGUGGCCAAGCACCGGCGCAUUGGCGUGAGCAAGGGGCGGCUGCGCUACGCCGAGGUCUCUCCUCACGACCCGUUCCUGCUCAGCUCCUUUGCGCUCGACGGCGACGAGGGCGGCGGCUGGACGCUGGAGCACCAGGUGGAGCUCAGACAGGUGUUGGCGGACGGAGGCUACCCGUGGCAGGAGAACUCGGCGCAGGCGGCGCCGCAGAUCGUCGUCCUUGACCCGCUGAACGCCAACGCCAUCUACCUCAAGGUCGGCGAGCACGUCGUCGUGGUGGACAUGCACAACGGCAAGGUGAUAGGGGCCUCUCCGCUUCAGGACGAGUACUCUCUUGUGCCGUGCGUGCUCCCGCCAUGGCUUGCAUCGAGCACGAUCCCUACGGCAGGCAAGAAGGAUGGCAUGGAACCGACAGAUGAUCCGGUUAAUUUGUCUUAG